GGUUGAAUAGUGUAGCUGGUUAUCACAUCGGAUUUUGAUCCCGGCUCAAUGUUAUCAUAUGAUAUCGAGCUUCCGCGGAAAGUGUUCCGAUAACUUGGGUUCGAAUCCCAAUUCGACCU